rnacentral:lncRNA from 1 species
UUUUGCUUUGAAAAUCAUAAAUUAUAAUUUAAUGCCAAUAAUAAUUUACAACAAAUGGCUGUUUACAAUAAGCUAACACAAAACAAACAAGGAAAAGGGCCCGUGUUUUGCUUAGUGGAGAAACUUCACACACUCACAUGGGUAGCACUUGCAAGAGGGGAAAAUAAGCAACCAACAAACCCUCCAUCUACAGGUCAGAUGCUGUGCUGUAAAACAUACUUAUCUUCGUAUUCAUAUUUAUAUAUAUAUCUAUAUAUCUACAGAGGGAAGUUGGGGGUCAGACAGAGAUAUCUGCCUAAAUCAGGGGAGUUUUCAGGUCUGCACUUUAUGCACCAGAACUGAGCAUCAAACUUUAAUGUACUUGGCAGACCGAUCUCUUUUCUUUCACCUCUGUCAUCAGCCCCCUCCCUCGUUUUAGGAUUAAACCACAACAAGGUAAAAGUAUUGUCAGGGAGGGCAGCUUGGAAAAUCUAAAUAAAAACAAAUUACA